AUGCACCAGAUACGGACACUACUGUCCUCAGCCCAGUGCAUCCUGGUGCCUGAGUUCCGUGACUGUUGGGUUUUAAGAAAGGUGCCACAGAAACAUCAGUCCUGAUAUUUAAGCUCAGGAGUGCACUCUUGAGUUAUGGCUCAGAGGCACGUGG
ensembl:scaRNA small Cajal body-specific RNA 1